ensembl:lncRNA
AUGCUUUUAACUAUUGUGUUUCUGGGAGUUUCUGCCGUUGGCCUUUUCCUCCGAAAAAUUACCUUCUGUCGCUGUGCUCAAGCCUUGGAGAGGGAGACGGCAGAGAGCAAGGGUGCCUACAAGCGGCACAGAUGGAGAAUGAGGAAAAAGAAAAGAGUGCCAGGGAGACACAUGAGUGAGGAGCCAGCCCAGAAACGCCUGUGCCUGAAGAACGCUUUCUGGCGAGGUGGGAGCUCCCGUGAAGGCAGCCGCUUAGUUUCCGCUGCAGGACCCACACGCCCUGCUUCUCCUUUUGGGGAUUCAGGACCUCAUUCGGUUCCCAUGAGGAACAGCAGCUGCGUCCCAAGUGAAAUCACAGAGAAGACAAAGGUAAAUGCUGGGGUCAUUUUCACUCUGCCUGUAUCAGGACAUUGUAGUCUUUUCCUCCAUCGUCCUCUCCUCGCCUGUCCUCUGCUCUGUAGGUUCUGCGAUACCUUUUCUGUCUGGAAUUUUUAGAGCAAAAUCUUUCCCAUAAGCUUUCUGGCUUCUUCAGUCCCAGCUAGUCAUCUUGGGUGGCACCUCCAGAAGCCAUAAAUGCUUAGGGACUGAGGGCUGAAGGGCUUUUACUGUUCUGUUUUCUGAAAUAGCAUGAGGAAUGCCACUGACCUCCACUCUCGUAGGUCUCAUGGCCCAGUGAAUGCUGACUGAUCUCUGUUACUCAAGGUGUUGUGGGGUCUAUUUCUGAUUGAAGUGGGGUUUUCUUUUAUUUUGUUUGUUUUUAUCUAUAAGGUAGGUGAGUAACAUUUGAAAUAUCUGCUGUAUUCUCAGAAGUGAUGAAAGUGAAAACUCAUUAAUCCAGCAUUAAUAUGUACUUUGUGCAAUUCUGAAUGCUCUUCGUCAAGGUCAAUUCUGUAGUUCAUCACAGUCCCAUUCCUGUUGGUAACGGUGUUGUACAAAAUCACCUUCACCCCCAUUUGGUCGUGCCCCGAUCUAACGUCUAAGUGUCAGAGUUUCUGUAUUUGUAGUAAAAAAUAUGCCUCGAUUGUGAGUUAGUGAAAGUGAAAGUAACCUGUUACCCACAGUGACAAUUCCCAACCAAGGCCUUCCAUGAUGCGCAGCUCUGCUGGUUCUCGUGUGGCUUCUGUACCUUCAACAGCUGCCGAGUCCUGAGAUGACACGUGAUGGGAACUGUACACUAGAAAUUAAACACGUUUCUAAAACUUGCCUUUUUCAGAAUUUCCACCUCAUUUUUCCCUGGACAAAAGUAUUAUUUCUGUCAUAAUGCACUUAAAAUUUGUAUUACCUGGGAGUUAAAAGAAAUCUUCUGGCCAUGCCUAACUGACUUGUGUAUGUGGGAUUGCUCUGACAGAAAACCCUCUCCCAGUUUCCCUGCUUCUCUUCAAGAAUCCACAUUUCCCCAGAGCCAUCUGUGCUCAUGGGGGGCACCCCCAUAGUGAAGAAGACCCUUUGUCGAGAAGGGAAUCAGAGGGAAAAUGAGAGGGUCCUGCAGGCAGAGCUGGAAUAGACUUCCACUCUGCCUCCUGCAAGCUCUGUGACCCUGGGCACGUGUUCUUCUUCCUCGGGGAGGCUCUGUUUACUUAGAUUUGGAGCAGGGUGGUCACGCUGACUUGCAGAGUUCUGAGAAUCAGAGACAGAACAUAAAAGGCCUGGAGAACAUUCUCCUAAAAGAAGCUGUAACACAUGUGUGGACAAUGGGCUCUUCGUGCCUCUCUUACUCGCUAUUUAUCUGAUGCCAAGAACAUGCUCUGGUGAUGGCGGUGAGGGAGGAAUGAGGAUGGACAGAGACACUCCUGUGUCUGAAACAUGCUUCUUCCUUACUGCGCUAUGACUCUGUCUUCCCUGGGGCAGGCCCCCAGCCUGCCUACAUUUGCAGAGAGAUGCAGUGGCAUGCGGAGAAAACAGUUUGCCCCAACGACUCUUCUUCACUUCCCAGCUGUCAGUGGUACUUAGUGGAAGGGUGACUUCAUGACACUGAUGCUGCUGUUUUGAAACCUGGAGGAUGGAAAGGUGCAAAAAACUAUCAGCAGCAACAUAAGUUGCAGCCUGUGUUGUUGGUGGUGGUUCUGUCUGUCAAAUUAAUACAUGUGAAAACACUUCCU